CAAGCUGUCGAAGCUGACAGCUGACUAUUCUGUCUUCUCCUCUUCUCCGUUUCUGUUAUCAUAACUUUGUUUUCCCUUUUGAGUUUAUCAGUAAUCUCAUCUUAUCAUUUCAAUAAACUGACAUCUACAUCUAGGAAGUGAACUUUUAUAGCAUUUGAAGCUUUAUCACUGGACGAGUGUUGGCGUAAUCUUCAAGAGAAUAACCAUUCUGGUGACAAAAUUUUGCUGACUCAAUCAGUGGAGGAGACAUCAUGACUCGUCGACACAGAAGACCAGGGCAUGCAAAUAGAGCGGCAAUGAAGAGAAGCAGAUAUUUCGAGAGAUUGGAAGACAGACAACCCGAUGAGGAAUUCAACAGAGAUUUUAAUCUAGUGCUUUUUUUAGCGAUAGUUUUUCUUUUAAUGGCGAUAAUUGUGCGUUGGUGCAUUGACGAAUUCCGCCCUGAGUUUCAGUAAUAAUUGCAAUUAUGUAUAAGUUUAAUCUUAGCUUUUAAUUUGUCUUUUUAGAAUUUUAUGUCAGCAAACCUCAAGAAAACAUACAAGAAUCUAUGCAAUUAUUACAAGCUUACUGGGAUGUAAGCUUAUCUAGCUGUUAAAUUGUGAGCUUGGAAUUUUAUGUCAUCAACUCUAAUGGAAACUAACAAUAAUUGUAUACGUAUACUAGACAUCAGCUUUACUGUCAGCUGAAUCCGUUAUUUAAAAUUCAUAAAAAUUACUGGAAUAUGUUUCAAAGCUUAAAUUGAGCUAGGGAGAAUGAUUAAUUGAUAUAUUUGGUGCUACUCAAUAAUUCGUCUCUUAAGGAAUAUGAUUUCCAGCAUAUUUUUGAAAGUAUUUUAAUUUCAACAUAUUUUAUAAUAUAUCAUACUUUUAAAAGCCAAUCGAACUGAAUUUUAACAGAUAAUUCCAUGCCUUUUAAUUAUUUCUCCAAGUACUAUAAAGAUCUUUCAGCGUUCAUCUUCAUUACAUUUUAAAAUACCAACGUUUUCAAAACUGCAAUUUAACAAUAGAUAUGAGAGAGUUCAUAUUUUAUAAUAGAGCUAGUUUUAAAGUGUUUGACAAUAA